UUGAUCAGUAAGUACAGUAAUAAUACCGUAACAAAGCUUGCAGCGCCUGUAAUCAUAUACGGCAAACUUUUAGUCUGUGCAUGAUUCAUUUUGCAUAUUUUGCAGACAAAUUUUGAAAAUUGUUCAGUUAAAUCAUCAUCGUCAUAAAACGUACUAUGCACUCGAGGUCCCUUACCGCAUUUGAGGAAGGGAAAAUAUGUAUUGCUGUAAAUAUAGCCUAAAAAGGUCAAACAAGUUUUCCAAAUCUAAGAAGAUAAACCAUUUAUGGUCACACAGGAAAUAGUUGUAUAUUGCAGUGUAAAUAGAAUCCAUUCCAAAGCAGUCAAAUUAAAUGAUCUGCAUUUCGUUUGAUUACUCGACUUGAGACAGAAGGAUAGAACAUUAAUGUGCAGUACUAGUUCGCAUGCAGGCCAGAAUCCAGAUAAGCGCGCGUGGUGUGAUGCGCUGUCUAACUGAAUACCAUAAUGACAGAUUGCAUAAAGUUACAUAAAAAAAUCGACGUAAACCGAUAAUUGCACUAAUCCAUAGUAUCAAAUUAAAUUG